CCGCGUAGCUCAGUUGGAAGAGCAUUGGGCUAGUAUUCCGAAGGUCGUAGGUUCGAAUCCCACCGUGG